rnacentral:rRNA from 1 species
CCUACGGGAGGCAGCAGUGAGGAAUAUUGGUCAAUGGGCGCGAGCCUGAACCAGCCAAGUCGCGUGAGGGAUGAAGGUUCUCUGGAUCGUAAACCUCUUUUAUAAGGGAAUAAAGUGUGGGACGUGUCCUAUUUUGUAUGUACCUUAUGAAUAAGGAUCGGCUAACUCCGUGCCAGCAGCCGCGGUAAUACGGGGGAUCCGAGCGUUAUCCGGAUUUAGUGGGUUUAAAGGGUGCGUAGGCGGCCUUUUAAGUCAGGGGUGAAAGUCUGUGGCUCAACCAUAGAAUUGCAGUUGAAACUGGGGGGCUUGAGUAUGUUUGAGGCAGGCGGAAUGCGUGGUGUAGCGGUGAGAUGCUUAGAUAUCACGCAGAACCCCGAUUGCGAAGGCAGCCUGCCAAGCCAUGACUGACGCUGAUGCACGAAAGCGUGGGGAUCAAACAGGAUUAGAUACCCCGGUAGUC